AACCUAUUGAGCAAUGCCUGUAAAAAACUGAAAAAAGCUGAAAACUGAACAAAGCCAUCAGCCUUUGGAUCAGCAUCUGUUAAUAAGAUCAAGCGAAAUCACCAUCUUGCGUGAAACAUCUGCAAUAUAUGGCUAUGAAAGAAAACAGUGGCAUUUUGACUUAUUCGAGAAAUGGAAGUCUGGCUGGCAGCCACCUGAAGUCUUGCUGUGAAAACAUUCAUGUAUGGUUGACACUAAUAUUUUUGUUUUCCCAAUGGACAGAUUCAGAGGGUUGGGAAGUCUUAGGAAUGUUGGGAGGUAUAGUAAGAAGAACCAUGUUUUCCCCAAUUCUGUUGCAGCUGGAGCGGCUUUUCAGGAGGCAGAAGGAACUUCAGUGGGAAGCUGGAAUUAGCAAAGACCUAUUUUAUAAACUCAGCUCUGAU